AGCUAUCUGCUGUGUGCGUAGUAUUCUGAUGUUUAAACCGACACCUAUAUUUUUGGGAAUGCGGAAAGCGCCUGCAUGAGUGGCAGUCCCGCAGAGGAUCCGGUAUGACUUGUCCCGGGUCCGGGAAAUCGCGUAAUGCCCGCGCAGCCUUCCCCCCUUGAGUUUUUGGGUUAUAAAACUCUCUUUCCUACGGCAUUGGCGGAAGCUU
rnacentral:sRNA from 1 species